rnacentral:misc_RNA from 1 species
GGAACUGGCAUACCUGUACUGAUCGAGGUCAAAGUUGAAAAAAAGGCUUAAUGGAUGCUAGACCUUUGCUGAUAGAGAGUGCGACUUGUGCUGCGCUCCGAAACCAGUAGGCCGGCUGCCAAUUACUUUAAGGCGAGUCUCCAGCAAAGCUAGAGACAAGACGCCCAACACCAAGCAAAGCUUGAGGGUACAAAUGACGCUCGAACAGGCAUGCCCUUUGGAAUACCAAAGGGCGCAAUGUGCGUUCAAAGAUUCGAUGAUUCACUGAAUUCUGCAAUUCACACUACUUAUCGCAUUUCGCUGCGUUCUUCAUCGAUGCCAGAACCAAGAGAUCCGUUGUUGAAAGUUGUAAUUAUUAAUUUGUUACUGACGCUGAUUGCAAUUACAAAAGGUUUAUGUUUGUCCUAGUGGUGGGCGAACCCACCAAGGAAACAAGAAGUACGCAAAAGACAAGGGUGAAUAAUUCAGCAAGGCUGUAACCCCGAGAGGUUCCAGCCCGCCUUCAUAUUUGUGUAAUGAUCCCUCCGCAGGCCCCCUUACCGAAAAAAAAUUGCC